rnacentral:rRNA from 1 species
GACGUAGGGGGCAAGCGUUAUCCGGAUUCACUGGGCGUAAAGGGCGCGUAGGCGGUUACGUAAGUCCGGCGUGAAAUCUCAGGGCUUAACCCUGGAACUGCGUCGGAUACUGCGUUGACUAGAGGUCGGUAGAGGUAACUGGAACUAGCGGUGUAGCGGUGAAAUGCGCAGAUAUCGCUAGGAACGCCGGUGGCGAAGGCGAGUUACUGGGCCGUACCUGACGCUGAGGCGCGAAAGCUAGGGGAGCGAACCGG